UUAAGGGCUGCCUGGCUCUGGGGAAAGUUCUGUGGUUGGUGAUCCCUCCCUUGCAGAGUCUUCCUCUGAGUGUACAUCUUCAGAGGCAGCUCCCUCUGUUGGCCCUGCAGAGUACCCAAGUUUGUCUCCCAGCUUGGUAAAGGAGGGACCUUCGAUGCCAGGGUCCCCUCAAGAGAGAAAAGGCAUAUAAAAAGGAAGCUGAAAUUCCUCAAGGAUAACGUUCUACAUGCUAGCAGGGAGGCAUCCCUACCAUGAGAACAUUCCAAAAAUAACUCACAGAAAUGCAUUUCUACCAGGGAAAGGCAGCCACUCUCCAGUAAUGCUGGAGCUUUGCUUGUUUUAAGCAUCAUCUGUGAUGACAUGAUUAAAAAAUCAGCAUUGUUACAACCACAAGGACCUUUUCCAUGUGAGAGCACAUAAAACAUUAUUAGUGAACUUCUGUCUCCUGACAUAUGUGCUGCAACCUCCAAAUGAGCUGGAAAGAAGGCUGAUGUGAAUCAGCAUUCAUUUUUAGAUCUUUGCUAUUGAUGGACAGUACUUACGUUAGGCACCACUAUAAAUCAAGAUGUCUUGUCCCAGUGUCCUCUUCUACUCUUUGUGUGUAACAACUUACCUGAAUGAUUGGAUGCCAUAUUAAACUGUGAUAUUACCCUGCAGUCUACGUCUGACUUUCAGAGGAUCUUGGAUGGUACAACUACAUCACUUUAAUCCACAGACUACAAGAUCUUCAUUCUACUUUGGAACUCUGUGGGGACAAUUCUUAUGGAUUUUGACAGUAAGCAGCACAGCACUGUGGGGCAUUUGAGGUGAAGUCAUUCUUAUCCAAAGAGCCAGCAUAAUUUCUCUGCGCCAUUUAAAUCCAAACAAAUCCUAUUUUAAGCACUUUGGAAUGACUUGAGUAAUGCAAAGGCCUUUUCUUGGGCUUUCUGCCCGGGAGUGAAUUUCACCCUCAGUGAAUUAUUAUUAUUAUUGGACUCUACUUAUGAAAACAUAAAGCAAAUAACCCAUGCAGAUAACAUUAAAGCAGUGGGAAAUGGAAAUUCCUAGUAGACUGAAGAAUUAAGUAGGAAUUGUUAUAUGAACCUUCUUUCUGUGCUACAGGAGGAUGUACUGGAUGACCUUUGGGUCUCCCUGGGUCUGACCAGCAACAGCUUCUUGAAAAAACUCUUUUUCCAUAAAUACCUGAUGUGUCAGGCAUCAAGGCACACUUUUCUCUCUUGAAAAAUACUGCAGAUUUAUUAUAUUUUCUCAGUUUUUUGCAAGUAUUUCCUGAGUCAGAAACGAUGAUAUCCUGAAAAUGAAGUGAUGGCAUUGUAGCCUUUUCCUUAUGUCCCUGAUAAAAUCUACUAUUUUAUUUCUGCUUUCAUGUAUAUGUUUGCAUCAUAAGGAACUAUUUUGUCCUCUAAAUUCUCCUUUCACUGCAUCAAAAUACUAAAAUAUCUUGUCACCUUUCCUUGGACCAUCGCAGAUCUUUUGAAAAUGUAUAUUUAUUUUUUGCUUUUGCUACUGAUGGAAUAUUUUUGAAAACACUGUGCAAAUCAGCUUUGAGGUCUUAGUGACUUCUCCUGUCCUGAAACGCGUUUUCAUAUGCUGUCGCUAUGUUUUUCAUAUGGAUCCCCAUGAAGGAGUGCACAAAACAAGAACUAACUUUAAGCAUGAGAGCAAUUCCCAGGAAGUCAACAGUAGCCUCAUGUACUGAAUGCUAAUGAUUCCCUUUAACUGUCCUUCAGAUAUGGUGUUUCUCUCAAGUCUGGGGUUGAGUCUUUCUCUCUUCUCUCCCCUUCAAUCCCCCAUUCACUUUUCAUAAUAAUAAACAGUUAUGCCAUGGAGAAAAGGAAGGCCAACAUUCACAGAUCAAAAUAUGGGCUACUACCCAUCUUGCUUAUUUGAUAGUCAUAAAUUCUCGUGUGUAUUAAUGUUUUUUUUUUUGUGUGUGUGUGUGGACAACCUUCCUGAAUAGCAACUAGCCAUGCCUUUAUGGGCAUAGGUUAGAUGAUACACAGGCUUACCAAAGUGCUUCUGAACAAAAUUCAGGUUUUGAGUAAUUGUGGGCACUGCUUCAACAAAGCUGUUGUUGAUGGCUCUUUGGGGUAGAAGAGAACUGCAAAAUUCCAACCUGCCUUUGAAUAUGUAAGAUUUUGGGUAAAGUUUGGAUAGGUCCUUUUUCUAGAUCUCAGUGUAGACUUCCAGAUCAGAAUUUUCCUUAGGCGGAUAGCAGUUCCAGUUUAGAACUUACCCUUUUGUUCCACUAUGCUACGUAGAUGGUUGCAUUUAGCGUCCAGUAGCUUCUGCAUCGACUUCUUACACAACAUAAAGCAAAGAAACUUCACAAUAUCUCAAAUAGCACCACUGGUUAACAUAUCUAACCAAAUUCUACCAUCAGAUCAGAGCACCCUUUGCCUCAUUUUGUGCGAUAUGCAUUCAUCAAAAGGUAGAUUUUAGCCUAUAAUUAACUGUACUUAUAGUUAGUCUAUUAUAUUUCAGGGUCUUAAACCACAGCAUGCAGUACUGCUUGCUGCAAACAACAAUUUCCUUUUGCCUCUUACCCUCCGUGCACUUUUUGAUCUCAUUCUGUAAAAAUAAAAUAAAAUAAAUGCAACACAACCUACAUCAACAGAACUAAAAAUUCAAAGGCAUUUUUAGCACUGGGCAAAAAAUUAAACAACUUCAGGAGACGCUUAUGGUUCCUAAAAAUGGAAGUAUCAACUGGUAAGUUUUUUGAAAAUUGAAUAUAAAAUCAUAGAGAAAUGCUUUAUUUGAUUCUCUGUUUAUGGGAAAUUCAUUUUAUUUGACUUUUUUAUUUGUAAUAUCAACUAUAUUGCAGAGCAGAGUUUCUAGGUGCUCCCUUAUGGUACCAUUCUUCUAAAUUAUUAAUGCCGUACUGUUGAUAUAUUGUCAGCCUUGUACAUACAUUCUAUGAAAAUGAGUUUUACAGUAGGCUGGGAUUUAUAACAAAGCUUGACAUAUGUAGCUAAUUCACCUAGACAGUCUUGUCAGUUUUAGGUUCAUAAAUAAUUGAUACUCAGGGCUUGGAGUUCAGCUACUGUUAGUGCUCCAGCUGUUAAAUUUCAGCAGCAUAAUGGAUGAAUAUUUGUUUAUAAUUUCUGUACGUGGACCUGAUGUCAGAUCCCCGGUCUCAUUUACAUAGGUAGAUUGAGAUGUUGGAAGUGUAAUGAGCAUAUGAAGAUGAUGAAUUGUUUUCCUCAGUGCUGGUGCGUUUCUGUAAAUGUUUGAUUAGUUUUGAAUGGAUUACUGUUAGAUUAUCUGGUUCAGGGGUUAAAGUGAGCAGCUCUCUGCUCCCAAAGCUUUCAUGAUCCCUUGCUGACAGAUUUUAAAAUUCAUACA